rnacentral:tRNA from 1 species
AUCCUUGUGGCUCAGAUGGUAAAGCGUCUGCCUCAAAUGCAGGAGACCCAGGUUCGAUCUCUGGGUUGGGAAG